UACAGGGGGGGCAAGCGUUGUUCGGAAUUACUGGGCGUAAAGGGCUCGUAGGUGGCCAACUAAGUCGGACGUGAAAUCCCUCAGCUUAACUGGGGAACUGCGUCCGAUACUGGAUGGCUUGAGUUUGGGAGAGGGAUGCGGAAUUCCAGGUGUAGCGGUGAAAUGCGUAGAUAUCGUAAGGAAGACCAGUGGCGAAGGCGGGUCUCUGGACAGUUCCUGACGCUGAGGCACGAAGGCCAGGGGAGCAAACGGG
rnacentral:rRNA from 1 species